CCUAUUGCUAUCGGGGUGAGACUAAGCCAUGCAAGUUGUGCGCUCCUUAGCCAUGUUUGGAGAGCAGCGUACGGCUCAGUAACACGUAGUCAAUCUGCCCUUAGGACGGGGAUAACCCUGGGAAACUGGGGCUAAUACUCGAUAGAUGGAAGCGCCUGGAAUGGUCUUCCGUUGAAAAGUUUUCGGGAACAUGCUUCCGAAAGCGCUUAAGGAUGAGACUGCGGCCGAUCAGGCUGUUGGUGAGGUAACGGCCCACCAAACCUAUAACCGGUACGGGCCCUGAAAGGGGAAGCCCGGAGAUGGGAACUGAGACAAGGUCCCAGGCCCUACGGGGCGCAGCAGGCGCGAAAACUCCGCAAUGCGCGAAAGCGUGACGGGGUUACCCCGAGUGCCGUCCGUUGAGGAUGGCUUUUCUCUAGUUUAAGAGGCUGGGGGAAUAAAGGGGGGGCAAGUCUGGUGUCAGCCGCCGCGGUAAUACCAGCCCCCUGAGUGAUAGGGACGAUUAUUUAGCCUAAAGCGUCCGUAGCCGGUUUAGUAAGUCUUUCGUUAAAUCUGACGACUCAAUCGCCAGGCCGCGGAAGAUACUUCUAGACUAGAGGGCGGGAGAGGUCGACGGUAGUCCUGGAGUAGGGGUGAAAUCCUAUAAUCCCAGGAGGACCACCAGUGGCGAAGGCGGUCGACUAGAACGCGCCUGACGGUGAUGGACGAAAGCUGGGGGAGCGAACCGGAUUAGACACCCGGGUAGUCCCAGCUGUAAACGAUGCGGGCUAGGUGUUGGUGCAGCUACGUGCUGCUCCAGUGCCGCAGAGAAGUCGUUAAGCCCGCCGCUUGGGAAGUACGGCCGCAAGGCUGAAACUUAAAGGAAUUGGCGGGGGAGCACCACAAUGGGUGAAGCCUGCGGUUCAAUUGGAUUCAACGCCGG
rnacentral:rRNA from 1 species